rnacentral:rRNA from 1 species
UACGUAGGGGCAAGCGUUGUCCGGAUUUAUUGGGCGUAAAGAGCGUGUAGGCGGUUUUACAGGUCCGCUGUGAAAACUCGAGGCUCAACCUCGAGCUGUCGGUGGAAACCAUCAGACUAGAGUCCGGAAGAGGAGAGUGGAAUUCCUGGUGUAGCGGUGAAAUGCGCAGAUAUCAGGAAGAACACCCGUGGCUAAGGCGGCUCUCUAGUACGGUACUGACGCUGAGGCACGAAAGUGUGGGAUCAAACAGG